GGGACGUCCAAUGGGAGCGCGGCUCGGCCCCCGCGCCGGAGCGGCCCCUUCGGCCCAAUGAGUCUUCUGAGGACACUGCCGCGAAGUGCCGGGGAGGGUUGGAGGGAGCCUCGCGGGGGCGGGCGCUGCGGCUCGGCCUGUCUCCUCGACCAAUCGGCGCCGAGAGCCGCUUUUACGGACGGCCCGGCGUCGUCCAAUCGGUGCCUCAUUCCGUUAGGAGCUGCUUCCACCAAUCCGUCAGACACAAGCAGGAGAACCCGCUGCCGAGUUCAUCCUUUCUGCACCUGCUCGUUCAAAACUUGACCUGUUGAAGGAAGAGAUGCCAGGCUGCCGUGCGGGAUGUGCUCCUUUUCUAGGAACAUGGUAAACAAAUGAGUUUAUUUUACUUUCUGCUGCGCCAGAGUGCUCACAAGAAGGGAAAAAUUGCCACUAUGAGCCGUAGUAGGCAUCUUUCUCUCUUCGUCUUUGUAGCACCCAAGAGCGUGGACACACACAUAAAGGGAGGGACGAAUACAUGUCUUUUUCUCCUCUAACAGCAAUGUCUAUCCUGGCCGCAGGUUGAUACAAGCCAGGAUCUACUUUUCCAAGCUGAAACCAUGAGGAUUACUCACAUCUUUAAAAAUAAGCCCCCAUUGGAUUAAGACCUAAACCCUGCAAUUGUCACUUUUCCCACCAGAGGAAAGUACCAGUGGCUUAACUAAAUACAUGUCCCCAGUGCCCCAGGAAGCUCCCAGGUUUGUUUCUCUUUCCCCUUUUACUGGAACUCCUCCAUGUUUCUGCAGGUUGGUUUUAUUUUUUUUUCACCACUUCAUCAUCCAUCCCUUCCUCCUGAGCUCAAUGUGAUCUUUAGUCUUGUCCUUGCCGUUUCUUCCCCAUCCUUCUCUGUCCAUUUGCCACAAGCAGACCACCUCCCGUUCCCUCAAAUCUGGGAGAAACGACCUAACAUGACAAAAUAAUAUGUGUUUCUGUUAUCAGUGGAAAAAAUAAAGCCAGAUUCAUCCUGCA
rnacentral:lncRNA from 1 species